rnacentral:rRNA from 1 species
UAAUACGUAGGGUGCGAGCGUUAAUCGGAAUUACUGGGCGUAAAGCGUGCGUAGGCGGUUCGUUGUGUCUGUGGUGAAAGCCCCGGGCUUAACCUGGGAAUGGCCAUGGAAACUGGCGAGCUGGAGUGUGGCAGAGGAGGGUGGAAUUCCGCGUGUAGCAGUGAAAUGCGUAGAGAUGCGGAGGAACACCGAUGGCGAAGGCAGCCCUCUGGGCUAACACUGACGCUGAGGCACGAAAGCGUGGGGAGCAAACAGGAUUAGAUACCCUGGUAGUCCACGCCCUAAACGAUGUCGACUGGGUGUCCGGGAAGCGAUUUCUGGGUACCGUAGCUAACGCGUGAAGUCGACCGCCUGGGGAGUACGGCCGCAAGGUUA